CAGUCGCCGCGGGAAUACGUAGGGUGCAAGCGUUAAUCGGAAUUACUGGGCGUAAAGCGUGCGCAGGCGGUUCGUUAAGACAGAUGUGAAAUCCCCGGGCUUAACCUGGGAACUGCAUUUGUGACUGGCGGGCUAGAGUAUGGCAGAGGGGGGUGGAAUUCACGUGUAGCAGUGAAAUGCGUAGAGAUGUGGAGGAAUACCGAUGGCGAAGGCAGCCCCCUGGGCCAAUACUGACGCUCAUGCACGAAAGCGUGGGGAGCAAACAGGAUUAGAUACCCGCGUAGUCCCUGUCUCUUAUACA
rnacentral:rRNA from 1 species